rnacentral:rRNA from 1 species
AUUGAACGCUGGCGGCAGGCCUAACACAUGCAAGUCGAACGAGUGGCGGACGGGUGAGUAAUGUCUGGGAAACUGCCUGAUGGAGGGGGAUAACUACUGGAAACGGUAGCUAAUACCGCAUACCAUCAGAUGUGCCCAGAUGGGAUUAGCUAGUUGGUUGGGUAACGGCUCACCAAGGCGACGAUCCCUAGCUGGUCUGAGAGAAUGACCAGCCACACUGGAACUGAGAACCGGUCCAGAAUCCUACGGGAGGCAUCAGUGGGGAAUAUUGCACAAUGGGCGCAAGCCGGAUGCAGCCAUGCCGCGUGUAUGAAGAAGGCUUUCGGGUUGUAAAGUACUUUCAGCGGGGAGGCGUUAACCAAAGAGGAAGCACCGGCUAACUCCGUGCCAGCAGCCGCGGUAAUUC